GAUCAUGGCUCAGGACGAACGCUGGCGGCGCGCCUAACACAUGCAAGUCGAACGAGAGAUGAGGAGCUUGCUCUUCAAAUCGAGUGGCGAACGGGUGAGUAACGCGUGAGGAACCUGCCGUCAAAGAGGGGGACAAACAGUUGGAGACGACUGCUAAUACCGCAUAAGCCCACGGCUCGGCAUCGAGCAGAGGGAAAAGGAGCAAUCCGCUUUGGGAUGGCCUCGCGUCCGA
rnacentral:rRNA from 1 species